rnacentral:rRNA from 1 species
GAUGAACGCUGGCGGCGUGCCUAAUACAUGCAAGUCGAGCGAAUGGAUUGAGAGCUUGCUCUCAAGAAGUUAGCGGCGGACGGGUGAGUAACACGUGGGUAACCUGCCCAUAAGACUGGGAUAACUCCGGGAAACCGGGGCUAAUACCGGAUAACAUUUUGAACUGCAUGGUUCGAAAUUGAAAGGCGGCUUCGGCUGUCACUUAUGGAUGGACCCGCGUCGCAUUAGCUAGUUGGUGAGGUAACGGCUCACCAAGGCAACGAUGCGUAGCCGACCUGAGAGGGUGAUCGGCCACACUGGGACUGAGACACGGCCCAGACUCCUACGGGAGGCAGCAGUAGGGAAUCUUCCGCAAUGGACGAAAGUCUGACGGAGCAACGCCGCGUGAGUGAUGAAGGCUUUCGGG